GUUGAACGCUGGCGGCAUGCCUUACACAUGCAAGUCGAACGGCAGCACGGGGCAACCUGGUGGCGAGUGGCGAACGGGUGAGUAAUGCAUCGGAGCGUACCUUUCAGUGGGGGAUAACGUAGCGAAAGUUACGCUAAUACCGCAUAUUCUGUGAGCAGGAAAGCAGGGGAUCGCAAGACCUUGCGCUGAUUGAGCGGCCGAUGUCAGAUUAGCUAGUUGGUGAGGUAAAGGCUCACCAAGGCGACGAUCUGUAGCGGGUCUGAGAGGAUGAUCCGCCACACUGGAACUGAGACACGGUCCAGACUCCUACGGGAGGCAGCAGUGGGGAAUUUUGAACAAUGGGGGCAACCCUGAUCCAGCCAUGCCGCGUGAGUGAAGAAGGCCUUCGGAUUGUAAAGCUCUUUCGGCCGGGAAGAAAUCGCACGGGCUAAUACCCUGUGUGGAUGACGGUACCGGAAUAAGAAGCACCGGCUAACUACGUGCCAGCCGCAGCCGCGGUAA
rnacentral:rRNA from 1 species